rnacentral:ribozyme from 2 species
CUCCUAAUGCAGCCGCCGGAUCCGGCGCAGGUCACAAGCCCUGGCAAAUGCAGAGUGGGAG